AGUGAACGCUGGCGGUAGGCCUAACACAUGCAAGUCGAACGGCAGCACCGUAAGAGCUUGCUCUUACGGGUGGCGAGUGUCGGACGGGUGAGGAAUACAUCGGAAUCUACUUUUUCGUGGGGGAUAACGUAGGGAAACUUACUCUAAUACCGCAUACGACCUACUGGUGAAAGCAGGGGAUCUUCUGACCUUGCGCGAUUGAAUGAGCCAAUGUCGGGUUAGCUAGUUGGCGGGGUAAAGGCCCACCAAGGCGACGAUCCGUAGCUGGUCUGAGAGGAUGAACAGACAGCCUGGAACUGAGAAAGGGUACAGACACCUGAGGGAAGCAGCAGUGGGGAAUAUUGGGCAAUGGGGGAGAGCCUGAUCCAGCCAUACCGCGUGGGUGAAGAAGGACUUAGGGUUGUAAAGCCCUUUUGGUGGGAAAGAAAAGAAGCAGGUUAAUACCCCGCUGUUAUGACGGUACCCAAAGAAUAAGCACCGGCUAACUUCGUG
rnacentral:rRNA from 1 species